rnacentral:lncRNA from 1 species
GCACAAAGCAACAAGUGCUUGGGCCAAUCCAUCCACUGCCACUGGAAGUGUUGUUGUUGUUGUUGUUGUUGUUGCGGUGACUCAGUGGUGGGCGGGCUGAGGGAUAGGAGGUGUGCCUACAAGCCAACCAACAAACACCUGCGCCAUCAUUUCUGUACGUCAAUAAAAGAAUCUCCUUUUUCCUCCUAAAAAACUACACACAUAUGGAGCCAGUUAACCCCAUCAUUUCCCUUUCCCCUCCCCCUUUUUUAAAAAAUAUUUUUAAUCCUGCUUUCUGUAGGGACCCCGGAGUUCUGAACGCCACAAAGCAGACUGGGUUCUGAUUCAACACACAGAGCAGGGUGGGUGCAACAUUUAUGGGCACAUUGUACAGGAUCUGUGCGCAUACAAAGGAAGCGGAUGCGGUACUGUGCUCACAUGGAAGAGGUGGAGUUGAAGCCACUCCCUUCUUUCUUCUUUCAAGGGCCGCCGGAUUCACACAACAAGCCGAGGAUGGAUGUUAAACCCGCUGUUGCGCUGACUAAUUAUGGUGAAUACAUGGAUCAAUGAAUCGUCGUCGUAAUUUGAAAAAGU